UGGGGAAUAUUGGACAAUGGGGGGAACCCUGAUCCAGCGACGCCGCGUGAGUGAAGAAGUAUUUCGGUAUGUAAAGCUCUAUCAGCAGGGAAGAAAGAAAUGACGGUACCUGACCAAGAAGCCCCGGCUAACUACGUGCCAGCAGCCGCGGUAAUACGUAGGGGGCAAGCGUUAUCCGGAUUUACUGGGUGUAAAGGGAGCGUAGACGGUAAUGCAAGUCUGGAGUGAAAUGCAGGGGCUCAACCCCUGAACUGCUUUGGAAACUGUAUGACUGGAGUGCAGGAGAGGUAAGUGGAAUUCCUAGUGUAGCGGUGAAAUGCGUAGAUAUUAGGAGGAACACCAGUGGCGAAGGCGGCUUACUGGACUGUAACUGACGUUGAGGCUCGAAAGCGUGGGGAGCAAACAGG
rnacentral:rRNA from 1 species